rnacentral:rRNA from 1 species
GACGAACGCUGGCGGCGUGCUUAACACAUGCAAGUCGAACGGAAAGGCCCUGCUUUUGUGGGGAGCUCGAGUGGCGAACGGGUGAGUAACACGUGAGUAACCUGCCCUUGACUGUGGGAUAACUUCAGGAAACUGGGGCUAAUACCGGAUAGGAGCUCCUGCUGCAUGGUGGGGGUUGGAAAGUUUCGGCGGUUGGGGAUGGACUCGCGGCUUAUCAGCUUGUUGGUGGGGUAGUGGCUUACCAAGGCUUUGACGGGUAGCCGGCCUGAGAGGGGGACCGGCCACAUUGGGACUGAGAGACGGCCCAGACUCCUACGGGAGGCAGCAGUGGGGAAUAUUGCACAAUGGGCGGAAGCCUGAUGCAGCAACGCCGCGUGCGGGAUGACGGCCUUCGGGUUGUAAACCGCUUUCGCCUGUGACGAAGCGUGAGUGACGGUAAUGGGUAAAGAAGCACCGGCUAACUACGUG